UUCUGCAGAAAAUUACAAUACUUUAAUGUUCAUGUUUGAUCAACAUCUUUCCUACUAAAUUAUUGUAAUUUCUUUCUCUCAGGUCCAAUCAGCUGGUGACCUCUGACCUCUGUCCACAUGCAACAGGCCCUAACUGGCUUUAAUCCUCCAGUUUUACUUAAAGAGCAUUAAUGUCCAUACUCACUGCCACUGCCGAGGGCCCAGCCUCCUCCGUGGAAAUACAUCAACCCUCUCCUCAGAUGGCCUUCGCCUCCAGCAGGGGGCUCGUAAACACGGACCGGGAUGCCGGCGAAAGUGAUGUCGCUGACUUUCACUCCGGGCAUGACCCCUCCGCUUGACUCAGAAGUGAGCGCCAUGUCAUCGAAGCCCUCCAUCGACUGCCUGAGGGACCUGAUAUAAUGAUCAAAACCCAGCCAAGACUUCAAAGAGGCCUGAGGACAGAUAGGAGGGGAGGAGUGAAUAAAACUCUUUAAGUUUCUUAGGACACAUUUAGGCAUAGAGUGAAACGAGCUGGUAGCAAAAAGGAAUCUGGGAAAAUAUUAAAUGCUUGUAUAUGUUGGCAGAGACUUGAGACACAACUAUCUCACCUCUGUCCUCCUGCACUGUAUCUUACUGAUGUGUUUCUAAGUCUGCCCUUCUCCCCACAAACAUCUCAGACUGUCUCAAUAGCUCAGCCAAGGCCAGCAGACACAGUUGCUUGGCACAGCGAGGGCGCAGAACCAGACAGCCACACAGAGACAUGUUGGCCUUGUUAUAAUAACAUUAGGUUUUUUUUUUUAUCAUUUCAUUAAGAUGAAAAGUCUACGAAUGCGGCAAAAUAUGUUCUUUUAGUUAAGAAUGCACGGAUCCAACUUUUUCUCUCCAGAUACUAAUUCCGAUACCUAAACUCAUACAUCGAUACUGAGUAUUGAUCCAUUACCAGAACUCUCUUCACACCAAAUUUAAAGUCUGUAUACCUCACUGAGAGUAAACCCUUGGAAUAAUUUUUUUAUGUAAGGUAAGGAUUGCUGAAAAUCUGAGUUGGCAGCCUUCCAUUACUAAAUGAAUGUAACUGAUGGAGGAAAUUUAUAAUGAUAGUGACACACAAACUGUAGUUAAUGUGAAUCAGACGCAUGCUAACCUGAUCUGGUUAAAGGGGAGCUCCAGCGGUUUUGCACACACAUCUUUAUUACAAGUCUUUUUACAGUCUUUCGGAGGAUUACUGUUUAUGUGAAGAAAAAUGUAAAACAGCCUUUUGUGGCUCCAGAGGAGAGCUGUGCAAAUUCUGAUUAACUGCCUCAAGUGAUGUCAACAUCAGAGACUACAAGUUUUGCUCCUCAUUUCUACUUGAGGUUGGGGGCUCGGUGCUACAGUAGACAUUACUAGUAUAACAAUAUCUAAUAUAAGUGCCAGCAGUGCAGUUGCAUCAUGGGUAAUGUAGGCACCUGUCAAUUGUGAGUCUGACAAUGUUACUGCAAUGUUAAGUCGUUGUGUACUCUUUGGCUGUAUUUUAGUGAACAGUUUUAGCUAAUUGUACCUGAAAUAAAAAACUUCAAUAAGAAAUAUUUAAUUCAAAGUUUAAUCAA